CAGUAGCCGCGGGAAUACGUAGGGGGCAAGCGUUGCCCGGAAUCAUUGGGCGUAAAGCGCGUGUAGGCGGCUCGAUAAGUCUGCUGUGAAAGUCCAGGGCUCAACCCUGGAAUGCCGGUGGAAACUGUCGAGCUCGAGUCCGGAAGAGGCAAGUGGAAUUCCUGGUGUAGCGGUGAAAUGCGCAGAUAUCAGGAGGAACACCAAUGGCGAAGGCAGCUUGCUGGGACGGUACUGACGCUGAGACGCGAAAGCGUGGGGAGCAAACAGGAUUAGAUACCCCCGUAGUCCCGUCUCUUAUACA
rnacentral:rRNA from 1 species